AUUGAACGCUGGCGGUAUGCUUAAGACAUGCAAGUCGAACGGUAACAGGUUAAGCUGACGAGUGGCGGACGAGUGAGUAACGCGUGGGAAUCUACCUUGUAGUGGGGGAUAAGCCAGGGAAACUUGGACUAAUACCGCAUACGCCCUAAGGGGGAAAGGCGCAAGUCGCUAUAAGAUGAGCCCGCGUCUGAUUAGGUAGUUGGUGGGGUAAAGGCCUACCAAGCCGACGAUCAGUAGCUGGUCUGAGAGGAUGAUCAGCCACGUCGGGACUGAGACACGGCCCGGACUCCUACGGGAGGCAGCAGUCGGGAAUAUUGGACAAUGGGGGAAACCCUGAUCCAGCAAUACCGCGUGUGUGAAGAAGGCCUGCGGGUUGUAAAGCACUUUCAGUUGGGAAGAUAAUGACGUUACCAACAGAAGAAGCACCGGCUAACUCCGUGCCAGCAGCCGCGGUAAGGUAGAUGAGU
rnacentral:rRNA from 1 species